AUGAUGAAUGGGUGUUGAAGGGACAGAUGCCCGCGGUCUGGCUCACUGA
rnacentral:snoRNA from 1 species